GACAGAAAAGCAAGAAGCGAGAAAAGACAGGUUGUAGUGGUCACUUUAGGGCACUAAGUUAUGUUUGACGGACUUGUGUUAUAUUAUACUCGUAAAGGUUUAGAUAAUUUGCAGUCGUGUUAUGUUAUGAUGCUCUUGAGUGUUUCCCACCUAACUUAGAGGCCUGUACUGGUUUCGGCUUCGCCUGUAUCGGUGCUAUAAAUCGGGCACGUUAAAGAACCAGACUAUCUAUUUGCAAAGAGCUAGGCUAGGUUAACCGGACGUCUGUAUCUAAAAAGGAUUUCUAUCUAUCUGUUCCGGGGGCUUUAUCUCACUCUGUCCCUCUUGUCAGAUCGCUCUGUGUCCUGUGUGGCUGCGUUUGCUAUAUGUAAAGCGCCUUUGAACGUGUUUAUCAUGAAAAUGGCGCUAUAUAAAUCUGGUAUAAUAAUAAUAGAGUUGUUAAAUAGUAUUUUGGUGUACCUUCUCGACUCAACGGUUCGUCCAAUUAUUAUCAUUUACAGAAAAUGCAUAUGAAAUGGGUCUGACUGAUUGAAAUUUUUGGUUAGAUAUUCUGCAUUUCCCGUUUUUUGUAGACUAUGAUUAUCACACCUGCUUUUAUAUUCGUAUAUAAGUUAGCAUUGUUUUACAGGAGUGUGAUAUGCAUAUGUUCGUUUUGUUGCUGAAAGAAACAUAAACAUUAUUAUAGUACAUUGUAACACAUAAUAAUUUCAACCAAGCAUUGAUAAAUGUAUCGUCACAUAGAACAGCAUUACUGCAUAGCAUAGCACACUUUACAAAUCUUUAAGCGCAACAAUUGUUUUUGUCAACACACCUCAUUUUCAAAACAAACCACAAAAGACACCCGAACGUAAUGGAAAUGUUCAACAAGUAAAUUUCAUCUUAACACAAAAAACAACAACAAAAACUACAACAACAAAUCAUACAAUAUUAUCAUCGUAGUGUGUAAUAAAAUAUACAUGUAUUAGCACAUUUUACAGAAAAAUGUGAAUCUUCACUUCUGUAUCAAUGUUUGCCCAUUUAAAGUUACUUUCAAUCACUAUUGUGAAAUUGCCAUAGACUCCUAGCCUUGACACUAGAUAUUAGAGUGAAAUUCCUUAAUACAUACUGUCAACAUAUUACGCAGAUUUUCAUUUUAUUCACCCUUUUAAAAGCAUAUCGGAAUGAGUUACACAUUCCGAUAUAUUUGAAUAGAAAGGGGCCAAUAAUCAGAACAUUUCAUUUCGGAAUAAUUUUCCCACAUGUCACUCCUAAAGACGCAGUUGAAAAUAAGUGAAUGCAAAAUAUUUCAACAUAUCAUUAAUCACAUAUAUAUUUCUAGUGUGUUUACAAGUCUCCGUUAGUAAGUUUAAUUCUCGAGUUUCGAAUUUCUUAAACUUUUAUAAUUUUGACAUUUUUUUUUUAAAUUUGAUAUGUAGCUCUAAAUAGAAACAUGUAAUAAAAUCACAACUUCCUGGUUUAUUCUUCACUCAUGCUCUUAAUAACUAUAAUCAAUAAUCACAAGUGACAAUAAGUCACACCCUGAAAUAUAAAUCGAAAGAUUAACAUACUCAAUAUAUACGUGCAUUUGUCAGUGUUGGCAUGCAUUAAGAGAGCGAAGGAGUUAUUUAUUAACAAUGCUGUCAGUUCUGAUAUUUGCAUUUCUAUGUAUUGUGUCUGUUGCCUCAGUUAUGUGAGAGUUACAGACAAAUGAUCAGCAGACAUGCAAACCGUUCAGGGCUCUUAUAGUCUGGGAUCUCAGCGAGAUAGAAAAUACAUUUGAUAUACAACGAAAUUUUAUAUUUCAAAUAAUAAACAAUAAACGUGAAGACACAAAUAUACGUUUGGACAUAAUGGACACCAUUUUAAGCAAUGUACUGGAUACGAAAAAAGACAUCUCGGACCACUGGUACAAACAUCGGUUUAAAGAUCGCUCAGGUUAAACGUACCAGUUUGGAACGAAAUGUAAUACCAUAUAAACAUUUGAUGGGAGCGGUAUCAAACUUUACAAAUGAAACUGUAACAGCAGCAUUAGAACUGUUCUUUGUUGUGGAUGACAAUUCAAGGAUAGAUAAGGAAGAAAUUGCUAAAAAGGAAUUGCAGUGAUUCAAAACGUUUGUUGCAGUCCGUGGAGCAAAGCCACCACCAAAGUUCUGGACAAAUCUCGCCACAGAUAAACAUCACCUGCUUGAACUUAAUGAUAACAUUGCUGGAGAUUUAGAUGUCUUUCUGGACCUUUCAUGUCAAGAUUACCGAACCAGAGACAAUACAAGUGACCAAUCAGAGAACAAUGGGUGUUACAGUGUAGUUCUCCAUGAUAAACUGGUCUACGCGUUUUCUGUUUCCAUGUGGAUAUUGGCGAAACAAUUACAUUGAUAAGAAAACAAAUUAAAGAAAGGUGUGCAUUUCUGGGCACACCGGAAAGUCUAAAUGUAACAACAUUUAACACAAUUCAUUUUAGAAAACAGUUGUCGACUGUAUAGAUGCUAGACUUAAAGUUCAAUAAAAACAAAGGAAGUUAGUUCUGCUUAAAAUAUACAUGAAAGAGAUAGAAAAAGAAUUUACUUUAUGUCUUUGUUUUGACUUGUACCAGGACCUGAAUGUAUAUUAACAACAUGAAGGUCUUUGACUAUUUUCAAGACAAAAAGGUAGAUAAUACAUGUAAACAUUGAUAUUUUUCCAUCAUUUAUCAUGCACUUUUCUAUUGAAUUUUUAGGCUGGCGAUUUAUUCGCUAGACUAUUAUAACCUUAAAUCGAGAUUCCACAAAGUUCAACAAAAAUUCAAAGGUGCUGAGACCGACAACACAAAAUAUAAUUUCAUGCGCAAUUCAAAUAGUUCGCCGCGUUUAUCAGUUUUGCCAUAGAGUUGUAUAAAGAUUGUUAAACUUAGCUGUUUCAAUAAAUCUAUUUGCUUUA